UACGUAGGGAGCAAGCGUUGUUCGGAUUUACUGGGCGUAAAGGGCGCGUAGGCGGCAGAUUAAGUCAGCUGUGAAAUCUCCGAGCUUAACUCGGAACUGUCAGCUGAUACUGUUUUGCUAGAGUGCGGAAGGGGCAACCGGAAUUCUUGGUGUAGCGGUGAAAUGCGUAGAUAUCAAGAGGAACACCUGAGGUGAAGACGGGUUGCUGGGCCGACACUGACGCUGAGUGCGCGAAAGCCAGGGGAGCAAACGGG
rnacentral:rRNA from 1 species